rnacentral:rRNA from 1 species
UAAUACCCCAUAGACUAUAGAUGCUGGAAUGCUUUGUAGUUGAAAGGUCCGCCGCCAUAGGAUGGGUCUGCGGCCGAUUAGGUUGUUGUUGGGGUAACGGCCCAACAAGCCUGUAAUCGGUACGGGUUGUGGGAGCAAGAGCCCGGAGAUGGAUUCUGAGACACGAAUCCAGGCCCUACGGGGCGCAGCAGGCGCGAAAACUUUACAAUGCGGGAAACCGUGAUAAGGGAACUCCGAGUGCCCGUAAAAUCGGGCUGUCCACCAGUUUAAAUAACUGGUGAAGAAAGGGCCGGGCAAGACCGGUGCCAGCCGCCGCGGUAAUACCGGCGGCUCGAGUGGUGGCCACUAUUACUGGGCUUAAAGCGUUCGUAGCUGGUCUGUUAAGUCUCUGGGGAAAUCUACUGGCUUAACCAAUAGGCGUCUCAGGGAUACUGGCAGACUAGGGACCGGGAGAGGUGAGAGGUACUCCAGGGGUAGGAGUGAAAUCCUGUAAUCCUUGGGGGACCACCUGUGGCGAAGGCGUCUCACCAGAACGGCUCCGACAGUGAGGGACGAAAGCUGGGGGAGCAAACCGGAUUAGAUACCCGGGUAGUCCCAGCUGUAAACGAUGCGCGUUAGGUGUAUCGGUGACCACGAGUCACCGAGGUGCCGAAGAGAAAUCGUGAAACGUGCCGCCUGGGAAGUACGGUCGCAAGGCUGAAACUUAAAGGAAUUGGCGGGGGAGCACCACAACAGGUGGAGCCUGCGGUUUAAUCGGACUCAACGCCGGAAAUCUCACCGGAUAAGACAGCUGGAUGAUAGUCGGGCUGAAGACUCUACUUGACUAGCUGAGAGGAGGUGCAUGGCCGUCGUCAGUUCGUACUGUGAAGCAUCCUGUUAAGUCAGGCAACGAGCGAGACCCCCGCC